CCUUCCAUUCUGUGGUCCUUCCCUAUUUUGGCGCUGACCUUGAACCCCUGACCUGCUGUCACCGUCUGGCGCCAGCGUCUCUCCAGACCUCGUCCCAAAGUACAGAGAGGGCAGGCAGGGUCCAUCCGUGUUUGCCCUCCUGCCCCUGACCAACAUAGCCCACUGCCAGUCAGGGAAGCCAGCCAGGCCAGCGGGGUUCUGUGAAUGCCGUGGUGUGUGGUAAAGACUGUGGCAACUUGGCAAUGAUUUCAUCUCCUCCUGGAACCCCCUCCCUCUCUCCCAUUAGGCUGUCCAGCCCUGGUGGCCCCUGGUACAGAGCUGGGAGGCCUCAGGGAGGGGAUAGCACUGCCCCCUGGGUAACAAAAGCCCUUCUUUGGCAGCAGCCAGGGGGGUGCUUGGGAGAAGAAGGGACUCCCAGGGAGGGGCACACGUGUCUCUGGGUACAAGGGCAUAACAGUGGAAGGGAUCAGAUCCUCCUUUAGUCCAGGGGUUCUGGACCUCUUCAGGAUCCCCAUGCCCCCAGCACCCAGCCCAUGGAGGGCUCAGCUCACCCUGGAGUGGCAAAGGAAUCCCAGGUAGACCACAACCACUGCAGGCAGCAGCACCAGCAGAAAGACCAUUCCAGGAAGCAGCAGGUGGAGCAGGAGCCAGCUCACUCAUACUAUCCUGGCAAGGGUCUGCAGAGCUUUCAGCAGCAGUCAGAAGACAGGACCAGCCCCCCCAUGAGACUACAGACCCGUUAAUCCUCCCCAGGGAGCUGCCACCCACCUGCCAUGGUGGAAACUGGAGAGCUGGCAGGCCUUGAAGAGCCACUGGGCCAUGCUGCCUAGCUUCCCACCUCUGCCCACCUGGCCCUGGCACAGCUGCAGCACAGCAGGGAGUAGCUCCUCAGCAAUGGGGACCCAUCCCCAUCCUUCAUCUCAGGGCUGCUGUCUGGGACAAAGGCUACAGUGCACUGAGGUCACUGCUCCUCUCGCUUUUGGCAUUUGGGCAAGAGCCCAGUGCGCAAGACCUGGCCCAGGCUCAGCAGGAGCUGCGGUGGGUAGAGCUGGGCUCAGAGGCCCCUGGACCCAGGAGAGAGAGGCCCAGUACUCCCCAGAGCUGGGGCCGCCUGCUCCAGGCGGUGUGGUGCGGUUCCCCGGGCCUGGUGAUGCAACUGCUGCGACAAGGGGCCAGCGUGGAGGAGAGGUGAGACGAGUCCCCACUUCUGGGUUGCUGGGAUCCCCGCUCUGGGCUGACAGGAUCCGGUCUGGGUCCCAGGACCGUCCACACCCGCGCCCGACGCCGCGCUCCCCCACA
rnacentral:lncRNA from 1 species